AGUAUUGAAAUCACAAUGGAUUGUAGUGUGUUUGGUCAUGAGAAAAACACCAAAGUGUUAAUCUUCCUUGAUAACAUUCGACACAUGUGUGAGUUGGAGGCACUCGAGGCAUGUUGUAUAUGUGUCUACAUAUGGCGCUUAUAUAAGCAAUGCAAGAAGACAAGCCUUCUUAAAAAAUUCAAAUUUGUUGAUCUGUAUAGCAUGUCACACAAUCCGAAGGUUGAUUCAGCAAAAAAGACAAGAAUUUUGGGGAGUAAGAUGUGUGGUACAUUGACUAAUCAAUUUCUUUUGAUGCCGUGCAACGUGGGUUGGCAUUGGAUCCUUCUUGUUAUUGACCCGCAUAAUGAUACUACAUACGUGUUGGAUCCAUUGAAGGAAGAUCGUCAUUUUACGGAGAUAAAGAUCGUCACAGAAACUGUCAUCAACAACCUCACGGGUCAUUACAAUGUGGAUUCUAUGUAAUGCGUUACAUGAAAGACAUUAUUGAAAAUUAUGGAUGUGACCGCCCCAAACCAAUAUCUUCAUUGUUUGCUGAAGGAUUUUACUCUGAAGAAAAAAACAAUGAAGUUCGGGAAGAGUGUGCUAAGUGUGUAUAUCGUUUUGUUGAUAAGAAUGAUGAUGAAGAUUCAAGCUAGUUGGAUGAUUGAUUUGUUGGACGAUUGCUGGUGAAUGAAGGCAUAAUUAGUUGGAGAUUUUAUUAGAAUUUUUUUAGUAGAUAAAUAUAGGCGUAACUAGAGACGAUACAAUUGGGGAUGUAAAUAUUUGAUU